GAGCUUUAAUUAACCGACUCACAAAUCAUAAUAAAAUCCUACAGGAAAUAAGCCUAUUUUAACUGAGCCGACAAUUUAGGUUGGGGUGACCUCGGAAUAAAAACUAACUCCCGAGAAAAUUCAAUCGAGACAAACAAGUCAAAAUUAUCAUAUUACACACUGAUCCGUCAAAGACGAUCAACGAAAUAAGUUACCCUAGGGAUAACAGCGCAAUCCUAUUUAAGAGUCCAUAUCGACAAUUAGGGUUUAC
rnacentral:rRNA from 1 species